rnacentral:sRNA from 1 species
GUUUUCCCAGCCACCUCCUCUACAGCAUUACCACUUGACUGGUACAAUCCAAGUGGCCCAAAGGAUAGACCGAGAUGCAGGUGAAUUGAGACAAAAUCCCACCAUUUCCCUGGAAGUUCUAGUGAAGGACAGACCAUAUGGGGGUCAGGAGAAUCGCAUCCAGAUAACCUUCAUUGUGGAAGACGUCAACGACAAUCCUGCCACAUGCCAAAAGUUCACCUUCAGGUAUGCACACUUUGAAACUUGGGCUGGACAUCCUACUUCUUUGGUGGCCCUCUGCCCUUUUGCUUCUCUGGUAUAUUCUCAGGAGAAUUAUAAGCAUUUGGAGAAACAGCUCAGUAGAAUAAAUCGAUGUGAACUGU